CUCCAUCGGCGCCGUCCCUCUCCUCCGUCUCCCGUCAUGCCAGCAGACAACCCUUCCUCUCCCUGCGAUCGCCGCCACCCCCACAUCCUCUUGGACAAGAAGUGCCUAAUCGGCUUUUCGGAAAAUUCCACCGCUGCAAAAACCAAGAACAGCCAAGGGCUCGACGUCGAGGUCUCUCUGAAAACAGCCGAUCCCCCGGCCAUCUCACUGUGCUUUGCCCGCUGCGUCGAUCAUCAGGCCACCGGGAACAAUCGCUUGGCCGGAGAGCCUUUUAUACAUGGUAUAGCUGGAGGGUUCAUACUGCUGGCUAUCGCUUUCUUGGACAGUGUCAACCAUUAUUUGCGGUACAUCGACUACUUCGUUUACAAAGCAGGAGGGCCACGUCCCGCCUCUCUCCAUCUUCUCCCAAGGCCCUAUCCGUCUUCUUUUUCACGAAAUUUGGUUGCAGUCUUGCCUAUCAGUGACGACGACAGCGAAGAAGACUUUGCUCUCGUUUUCCCUCGUGUUGAAUAUCUCGUGCUCGAGUCUCGCAGGCAUUACACACUACUCGUCUAUCGCUCCGACACGAAUGCUUGGCGCUCUCAGGUGGCUUACAUCGCCGACGAGGAUAGUGAAACAAUGAAUGCUAAGCAUAAGAUAUCGGUUCAUCGUGCCAUGAGCGUGGCGUAUGCAGAAAAGGGUGUCAUAGGCUGGAUCGAUCUUUGGUGGGGAAUUCUCUUGUGCAAUGUUUUGGACAGCAAGCCUAUCAUCCGUUUUGUUCCGUUGCCAAUAUCGGAACCGUGUGAUCCCUCUGAGUUCCACCUGACGUUUGAGGAUCUCACCCCGAGACCGCACCGUCAUGUCACGAUAUGCAAUGGUUUGAUCAAAUUUGUUGGAUUAAAUUUCCAUGCAGACAAUGCCAUUCGCAGCAUGAAGCAAGCACGAGAUCAUGGUUGGACGGCUAGAACAUGGACCAGAUCAAUCUAUUCAGAUGAUGUUUGGCAUGAUGGCAUGACGAUUGAUACGUCUGAGAUAUAUUUCACCGACUCAAGUUUGCCGAGUCUCUUGCCCGGGAUGUUUGAUGAGGAAAACAAUUUGACAUGGGGGAAAUUCACCACUGCCGGCCCUACAUUAAGUUUGCUCGAUGACGAUAUUGUUUACAUUAUGGCGAAGGAGAGCGUGUGCCAUCGGACAGCAUAUGUACUCGCUGUCAACACUAAAAGUUCAAAGCUCGAAUCUGGUGCGCAAUGUUCUGCUCAAAAG
rnacentral:rRNA from 1 species